GAUGAACGCUAGCGACAGGCUUAACACAUGCAAGUCGAGGGGCAGCGGGGCGGCAGGCUUGCCUGCCGUUGCCGGCGACCGGCGCACGGGUGAGUAACACGUAUGCAACCUGCCCGUGGCAGGGGGAUAAGCGGGGGAAACCCCGUCUAAUACCGCGUAACGCGGCCUAGGGACAUCCCAAGGCCGCCAAAGGGAGCAAUCCCGGCCACGGAUGGGCAUGCGGCGCAUUAGCUAGUCGGCGGGGUAACGGCCCACCGAGGCGACGAUGCGUAGGGGUUCUGAGAGGAAGGCCCGCCACACUGGUACUGAGACACGGACCAG
rnacentral:rRNA from 1 species